rnacentral:tRNA from 1 species
AUUUUAAUAGUUUAAAAAAAACUUUGAUUUUGUACAUCAAUAAUAAGAUUAUCUUUCUUUUAAAAUU